GCUUAUCACCAUUCCAGAUUGAAUAUACCCGAUCUCGUCUGAUCUCGGAAGUCAAGCAAUCUCGGGCUUGGUUAGUACUUGGAUGGGUGACCGCUUGG
rfam:Ciona savignyi cont_37905, whole genome shotgun sequence.